rnacentral:rRNA from 1 species
UACGAAGGGUGCAAGCGUUAAUCGGAAUUACUGGGCGUAAAGCGCGCGGAGGUGGUUCAGUAAGUUGGAAGUGAAAUCCCCGGGCUCAACCUGGGAACUGCUUUCAAAACUGCUGAGCUAGAGUACGGUAGAGGGUGGUGGAAUUUCCUGUGUAGCGGUGAAAUGCGUAGAUAUAGGAAGGAACACCAGUGGCGAAGGCGACCACCUGGACUGAUACUGACACUGAGGUGCGAAAGCGUGGGGAGCAAACAGG